AGAGUUUGAUCCUGGCUCAGGAUGAACGCUGGCGGCGUGCCUAAUACAUGCAAGUCGAACGCUUCACUUCGGUGAAGAGUGGCGAACGGGUGAGUAAUACAUAAGUAACCUGGCCUUUACAGGGGGAUAACUAUUGGAAACGAUAGCUAAGACCGCAUAGGUGUCAUAACCGCAUGGAGAUGACAUGAAAUAUGCUACGGCAUAGGUAGAGGAUGGACUUAUGGCGCAUUAGCUAGUUGGAGGGGUAACGGCCCACCAAGGCGACGAUGCGUAGCCGACCUGAGAGGGUGACCGGCCACACUGGGACUGAGACACGGCCCAGACUCCUACGGGAGGCAGCAGUAGGGAAUUUUCGGCAAUGGGGGAAACCCUGACCGAGCAACGCCGCGUGAAGGAAGAAGUAAUUCGUUAUGUAAACUUCUGUCAUAGAGGAAGAACGGUGCAUGUAGGGAAUGACAUGCAAGUGACGGUACUCUAUAAGAAAGCCACGGCUAACUACGUGCCAGCAGCCGCGGUAAUACGUAGGUGGCGAGCGUUAUCCGGAAUUAUUGGGCGUAAAGAGGGAGCAGGCGGCACUAAGGGUCUGUGGUGAAAGAUCGAAGCUUAACUUCGGUAAGCCAUGGAAACCGUAGAGCUAGAGUGUGUGAGAGGAUCGUGGAAUUCCAUGUGUAGCGGUGAAAUGCGUAGAUAUAUGGAGGAACACCAGUGGCGAAGGCGACGAUCUGGCGCAUAACUGACGCUCAGUCCCGAAAGCGUGGGGAGCAAAUAGGAUUAGAUACCCUAGUAGUCCACGCCGUAAACGAUGAGUACUAAGUGUUGGGAGUCAAAUCUCAGUGCUGCAGUUAACGCAAUAAGUACUCCGCCUGAGUAGUACGUUCGCAAGAAUGAAACUCAAAGGAAUUGACGGGGG
rnacentral:rRNA from 1 species